GACGAACGCUGGCGGCGUGCCUAAUACAUGCAAGUUGAGCGCUGAAGGAUGGUACUUGUACCCACUGGGUGAGCAGCGAACGGGUGAGUAACGCGUGGGGAAUCUGCCUUUUAGCGGGGGACAACAUUUGGAAACGAAUGCUAAUACCGCAUCAAACCUUUAACCACAAGUUUUAAGUUUGAAAGAUGCAAUUGCAUCACUCAAAGAUGAUCCCGCGUUGUAUUAGCUAGUUGGUGAGGUAAAGGCCCACCAAGGCGAGGAUACAUAGCCGACCUGAGAGGGUGAGCGGCCACAUUGGGACUGAGACACGGCCCAAACUCCUACGGGAGGCAGCAGUAGGGAAUCUUCGGCAAUGGACGAAAGUCUGACCGAGAAACGCCGCGUGAGUGAAGAAGGGUUUCGGAUCGUAAAACUCUGUUGGUAGAGAAGAACGUUGGUGAGAGUGGAAAGCUCAUCAAGUGACGGUAACUACCCAGAAAGGGACGGCUAACUACGUG
rnacentral:rRNA from 1 species